GUUAAGGAUUGCCACAUUCAAAUGCCUAGAGGACAGCAAAAACAUCACAGCCUUCUGAGGACUACGUAAGGGCAUUGGCCCAGUUCUGAUUCAAAGGAAAGAAUCACCAACAUCCCUUACUGCAGCAUCCCAGGUUUACCUUGGAGGUGUUCCAUCCAAGUACUGAGCAGGCCCGCCAUCCUUUGCUUAUGAGACCUUACAAGAGCACAACCUAUCACGCUGAAGUAUGUAUGGACGUGGUUGAGAAAAAAGACAUUCUGCUCACUGCCAGAUCUUCCAGAUAAUAUGGACAACAUACUCUCCUACUUAGCGUAUUUGCAACAUACCUCACGUGGCACGUGACAUCACUGAAUUUGGAUCACUGGUUGGAUCAUUAACUUCCCCGGCUUGGGCCAGGUAUGAUUGGGAGUGCACUGUGAAUGCUGAUCUAUGCCUCCCAACAUACUAAAUAUCUGCCAUCCAUAUUGUUAUGACAAGUUUCGCUGAAUGGUGCUGUUACACAUAGUCGUCCAAAUAUUUUUCUUAGCAUUCAAGCAAGUUUUGACUGUCAGGAAGACAUGCUAUGUUGUUAUUUAGUUUUAGGUUACAUAAUGUUUUUGUGUGUAGACAACUUUGGGAAGAAAGGGCAGCAGGAGGAUUUGCUCCAGACCCACCAACAGCAAUUCCGGGCCCCACAGCAGAACAGUCGCGGAUGUGGUUCACCUGACAUUUGGGAGAUUCUGCUCCUGUGCUGGAUGGUGCCCAGUGAGCUGCCAGCUGCGCUGCUGGGUGCGCUUUUCCGGCACAGCCACGGCUCCCACAUGCAAGCCCAGUAGGGUUGCCAGCUGUCUAAUCGCGCAAACCCAAAGACCCUUGCCUCGCCCCCUGCCCUUUCCCUGAGACCACACCCUUGUCC